rnacentral:rRNA from 1 species
UACGUAGGGUGCAAGCGUUUGUCCGGAAUUAUUGGGCGUAAAGAGCUCGUAGGCGGUUUGUCGCGUCUGCCUGUGAAAACCUAGGGCUUAACCCUGGGCCUGCAGUGGGUACGGGCAGACUAGAGUGCGGUAGGGGAGACUGGAAUUCCUGGUGUAGCGGUGAAAUGCGCAGAUAUCAGGAGGGAACACCGGUGGCGAAGGCGGGUCUCGUGGACGAAGCAACGUGACGCUGGAGGAGCGAAAGCGUGGG